CACCGGGGGCGACAGCAUGAUGAAGGCCAGGCUGAAGACCUUGCCUGAUCCGCUGAGAGGUGGAGCAUGGCCGUCGUCAGUUCGUACUGUGAAGCAUCCUGUUAAGUCAGGCAACGAGCGAGACCCACGCCCACAGUUGCCAGCGAGCCCUUCGGGGUGGCGGGUACUCUGUGGGGACCGCCGCUGCUAAAGCGGAGGAAGGAAUGGGCAACGGUAGGUCAGUAUGCCCCGAAUCUCCCGGGCUACACGCGGGCUACAAUGGUCGGUACAAUGGGUAUCUACCCCGAGAGGGGAUGGAAAUCUCCUAAAACCGGUCGUAGUUCGGAUUGAGGGCUGCAACUCGCCCUCAUGAAGCUGGAAUCCGUAGUAAUCGCGUUUCAACAGAACGCGGUGACUACGUCCCUGCUCCUUGCACACACCGCCCGUCAAACCACCCGAGUAGGGUCUGGAUAAGGGUGCGCCAUGUUGACGCAUUCGAAUCUGGGCUUUGCAAGGGGGGUUAAGUCGUAACAAGGUAACCAAGGGCGAAU
rnacentral:rRNA from 1 species